AACGAACGCUGGCGGCAGGCUUAACACAUGCAAGUCGAACGCUCGUAGCAAUACGGGAGUGGCAGACGGGUGAGUAACGCGUGGGAACAUACCCUUUGGUUCGGAAUAACUGAGAGAAAUUUCAGCUAAUACCGGAUGUGCCCUUCGGGGGAAAGAUUUAUCGCCAAAGGAUUGGCCCGCGUCUGAUUAGCUAGUUGGUGAGGUAACGGCCCACCAAGGCGACGAUCAGUAGCUGGUCUGAGAGGAUGAUCAGCCACACUGGGACUGAGACACGGCCCAGACUCCUACGGGAGGCAGCAGUGGGGAAUAUUGGACAAUGGGGGCAACCCUGAUCCAGCCAUGCCGCGUGAGUGAUGAAGGCCUUAGGGUUGUAAAGCUCUUUCGUCAGGGAAGAUAAUGACGGUACCUGAAGAAA
rnacentral:rRNA from 1 species